GAUGUCAUGUGUUAAGGGGGCAGGUCUGCUCCAGCACUGCAGAGUACAAAGGACCUCCAGCAACCUCACUGCUCCAUACUGUAUUAUUACAUUAUUCUAACAAGACAAAUAGUUUACUUAAUAUUGGUAUUUUUGUACUUACGGGGAUGAGUCCUAGAAACAUCCUGAGAAAAACGAGAGAUGAUGAGUCACAUAUUGUGUUGCUCACUGACAGAACAAUGUGUGCAGCAAGUGGCAGAUUAAAUGAUGACCAGCACAGUAUAAUGUGUGAGGCUUCCUGUGUACUGUCUGUCAAGCUGUCGGAAUUUGUGCAGCACUAAAGUGGAUAUGUACAGGAUUAUGGCAGGGCAUGAAAAGGAAUCCAGCACUUGAAAACCCUCACGUCUUUUUCAUCAUCAAAAAGUACAGCUUCAGAGGACUGGCUAAUAUAUGAAUCAAACACAAGCAAGGCUGGCUGACAAGUCACAAUAAGGAGAGAUAGAGCAAAAGUGAAAGUGAUCACUAAGCGGAGCUGAAUCACCCAUCAGGAAGCUGAAAGACUGAAAAAAAAAGAAGAAGAAGAUGGUCGGCUUCUAAAUCAGCCAAACAUUUUAAACAUCCCUGCUGUAAUUGGCAAUUUUGUAAUAUUUAUUCACAACAGAUCUGAUUGUCAGAGUCCCACUGGCUCCUCUCUGGAGAGUUUGCGUGAAAUCAGUUUGAAAUGGUGUGUCAAUUUUUUUUUUCCUCAAGUCACCAUCUGGCUGAUAGACUAGAGUCUGUUCUAAUACACUGACCCAGUGAAUCGCUGCUAAACUACUCCCUCGACAGUUCCUUUGCAUCUCGGAAGAUAUUCACAGAGAGCGCCAUAUACAGGCAGACGCGUACGGCGCGUAAUGGGGAGCAGUUAUUAGAGAAUUUGAUUUGCAUAAAACUAAGUUGACAAGUGGGCCUGAUGGUGGCCUGGUGAGCCACAAUACUUUUGCCAGCUUGCAAUUUACAGUACAAAGGGCUUUAUUCAGCUAGCAUCGCAUCAGCGAUGUGAUCGCAUUUGGCCGACUUUUGGGUCAGUGCGCACGAGCAGGGUCUGUUCUGCGUGUGCGCAGGCCGGGCAAUGAGAUCGCAUUGCAGUGAUGUGAACGCCUCUGCCUGAUCGACAGGCAGAGGCAUUAGAUGCAGGGUUGCGGGAGCAUGGUGCCAAAGACGUGGGAGGGUCCGGGGGGACAUUUUCAUGGCGGCUGCGUGAUAUCACACACGGCUGCGAAGAGAAAUAUGGCCGUGCUGUGCCUGCGUACACAGCCUGGCUGCGUAUGCAGGGGGCUACCCUUAUUUUCUGGGUCCGUGAUGCGAUCGCAUCGCUGGCCGGCAAUUAGCAUGCAGGGCAACCUUGCCCUGUGCUGGGCGGCUCUCAGCAUGCGAGUGCUAGCAGUUGCAGUUUUGGUAAAUUACUCCAACUGAUGCUGAAUAAGGUCCAAAGUUGUAAACAAAAUAAAGUUACGUGUAUGUAGAGUGUUAAGGUCAAUAAAAUGAAGAAUUCCAUUGAUGAUAAAAGAUAAAGAUUAGGUUGCAUUGGUAUAUCUCUAAUAUCUGUACCUCACCAGUGUCUUGCAUCGGCUGGCGCUGCAGAGCAGCAGAAAAUAAACUGAAAAAAUGGAGCAGCUGCCGUUUUCCUGGUCAUUUAGGCAUAGGCAAGUUAGCCAGAUGCCUAAGGCAUUUGCAAUGCCAAGGGGAAUUCAAGCCUGCCUAGGGCCAGGGUAGGUUCCGCUUUGGGCUGGCUACUGCGAUCGGAGCUCUCAGAAGCAUUUUAGCCUCACAAUUUGCUAAGUUAGGGUUAGAGUUUGACCGAAGUCGGUUUUGUGGAACCGGUUUUUUAUUUCUCAAUACGCAUACUCUGGGAAUACUCAUUCACAUGUGAUUUUGAACUGUAAGCAUUACGGUCGUAACUCCACCUGCAGGUGAAUGCACAAAACUGGGUGUUAAUGUGAUGUUUGCAUAGAGGUUAAUUUUAGUGAGGGUGUGUUGGGUGUGUCGGCAGAUCUGUGGGCAAUGCUGAAUUGCUGAUUUCAGAUGCAUUGUUUGCACCAUGGAUACGGCUGAUGCAAGUGCGUCCUGAUAGUGACAACCAAGAGUAUGGAUACGUGGCGGUGUAGUCACAUAGACACGUACAAUUCUGCAUACGGGCCAAUAACCACAUUUUAUUCUGUGCUGUGCAGUUGCAAAUUAGUCCAACUGUGAAUUCGCCCCCUUAUAGUUAUAUUGUUAUUAAUAAUAAUAAUAAUAAUAAUAAAAUUAUCAUAGUAAUGGCAAAUAA